UACGUAGGGCGCAAGCGUUGUCCGGAAUUAUUGGGCGUAAAGAGCUCGUAGGCGGCCUGUUGCGUCCGCUGUGAAAUCCCGGGGCUCAACCCCGGGCCUGCAGUGGAUACGGGCUGGCUAGAGGCAGGCAGGGGAGAACGGAAUUCCUGGUGUAGCAGUGAAAUGCGCAGAUAUCAGGAGGAACACCGGUGGCGAAGGCGGUUCUCUGGGCCUGUACUGACGCUGAGGAGCGAAAGCGUGGGGAGCAAACAGG
rnacentral:rRNA from 1 species